CCUACGGGCGUCAGCAGUGGGGAAUAUUGCGCAAUGGGCGAAAGCCUGACGCAGCGACGCCGCGUGAGGGAUGAAGGUCUUCGGAUCGUAAACCUCUGUCAGCAGGGAAGAACGGUCACUGUGCUAAUCAGCAGUGAAUUGACGGUACCUGCAAAGGAAGCACCGGCUAACUCCGUGCCAGCAGCCGCGGUAAUACGGAGGGUGCGAGCGUUAAUCGGAAUUACUGGGCGUAAAGCGCUCGUAGGCGGUAUGUCAAGUCAAGGGUGAAAUCCCCGCGCGCAACGUGGGAACUGCCUUUGAAACUGGCAAACUGGAGUGUGAGAGAGGAUAGUGGAAUUCCAGGUGUAGGAGUGAAAGCCGUAGAUAUCUGGAGGAACAUCAGUGGCGAAGGCGACUAUCUGGCACAUAACUGACGCUGAGGAGCGAAAGCGUGGGUAGCAAACAGGAUUAGAUACCCUGGUAGUC
rnacentral:rRNA from 1 species